rnacentral:rRNA from 1 species
GGGAUAGGUUUUUUUGGGGGGCUGGUUGUGGUUUAAAAUUUUUUUUUUCUGCUCAGGACGAACGCUGGCGGCGUGCCUAAUACAUGCAAGUCGAACGAACUCUGGUAUUGAUUGGUGCUUGCAUCAUGAUUUACAUUUGAGUGAGUGGCGAACUGGUGAGUAACACGUGGGAAACCUGCCCAGAAGCGGGGGAUAACACCUGGAAACAGAUGCUAAUACCGCAUAACAACUUGGACCGCAUGGUCCGAGUUUGAAAGAUGGCUUCGGCUAUCACUUUUGGAUGGUCCCGCGGCGUAUUAGCUAGAUGGUGGGGUAACGGCUCACCAUGGCAAUGAUACGUAGCCGACCUGAGAGGGUAAUCGGCCACAUUGGGACUGAGACACGGCCCAAACUCCUACGGGAGGCAGCAGUAGGGAAUCUUCCACAAUGGACGAAAGUCUGAUGGAGCAACGCCGCGUGAGUGAAGAAGGGUUUCGGCUCGUAAAACUCUGUUGUUAAAGAAGAACAUAUCUGAGAGUAACUGUUCAGGUAUUGACGGUAUUUAACCAGAAAGCCACGGCUAACUACGUGCCAGCAGCCGCGGUAAUACGUAGGUGGCAAGCGUUGUCCGGAUUUAUUGGGCGUAAAGCGAGCGCAGGCGGUUUUUUAAGUCUGAUGUGAAAGCCUUCGGCUCAACCGAAGAAGUGCAUCGGAAACUGGGAAACUUGAGUGCAGAAGAGGACAGUGGAACUCCAUGUGUAGCGGUGAAAUGCGUAGAUAUAUGGAAGAACACCAGUGGCGAAGGCGGCUGUCUGGUCUGUAACUGACGCUGAGGCUCGAAAGUAUGGGUAGCAAACAGGAUUAGAUACCCUGGUAGUCCAUACCGUAAACGAUGAAUGCUAAGUGUUGGAGGGUUUCCGCCCUUCAGUGCUGCAGCUAACGCAUUAAGCAUCCGCCUGGGGAGUACGGCCGCAAGGCUGAAACUCAAAGGAAUUGACGGGGGCCCGCACAAGCGGUGGAGCAUGUGGUUUAAUUCGAAGCUACGCGAAGAACCUUACCAGGUCUUGACAUACUAUGCAAAUCUAAGAGAUUAGACGUUCCCUUCGGGGACAUGGAUACAGGUGGUGCAUGGUUGUCGUCAGCUCGUGUCGUGAGAUGUUGGGUUAAGUCCCGCAACGAGCGCAACCCUUAUUAUCAGUUGCCAGCAUUAAGUUGGGCACUCUGGUGAGACUGCCGGUGACAAACCGGAGGAAGGUGGGGAUGACGUCAAAUCAUCAUGCCCCUUAUGACCUGGGCUACACACGUGCUACAAUGGAUGGUACAACGAGUUGCGAACUCGCGAGAGUAAGCUAAUCUCUUAAAGCCAUUCUCAGUUCGGAUUGUAGGCUGCAACUCGCCUACAUGAAGUCGGAAUCGCUAGUAAUCGCGGAUCAGCAUGCCGCGGUGAAUACGUUCCCGGGCCUUGUACACACCGCCCGUCACACCAUGAGAGUUUGUAACACCCAAAGUCGGUGGGGUAACCUUUUAGGAACCAGCCGCCUAAGGUGGGACAGAUGAUUAGGGUGAAGUCGUCAAAGGGGUAACCAAAAAAAGUUGCGAUUCCCCCUUUCAGGC